UUGCGUAGGCGGUUAUGUAAGCGAAUAGUGAAACCUGGUGGCUCAACCACACAGACUAUUAUUCGAACUGCAUAACUCGAGAAUGGUAGAGGUAACUGGAAUUUCUUGUGUAGGAGUGAAAUCCGUAGAUAUAAGAAGGAACACCAAUGGCGUAGGCAGGUUACUGGGCCAUUUCUGACGCUAAGGCACGAAAGCGUGGGGAGCGAACC
rnacentral:rRNA from 1 species